GAUCCUGGCUCAGGAUGAACGCUAGCGACAGGCUUAACACAUGCAAGUCGAGGGGCAGCGCGGGAGUCAGCUUGCUGACUUCUGGCGGCGACCGGCGCACGGGUGAGUAACACGUAUGCAACGUGCCCGCCACAGGGGGGAUAACCGGGAGAAAUCCCGACUAAUACCGCGUAGUCCCGGGGAAGGCAUCUUCCCCGGGGGAAAGGAGCGAUCCGGUGGCGGAUGGGCAUGCGGCGCAUUAG
rnacentral:rRNA from 1 species